GUACUUGUAAAGAAAAACUCAAAAUAACGUGUUUGCUUUGAGCAGAACCUUCCAUGUGCAGACCUGUGGCCAUGAGUGAAAUGUGUAGAAAUAUUAAAACAUGUCUUGUGACGGUUGAUGAAAAUGAAGAUGAUGGAGAUAACGGUUGAUUUGGUAUAAAGCUUGUUGCACUGGUACACACGGUCCCAGUCCCCAGGUUAGGGGAGUGUUGGCGCGCCCUUAAAAAAGUUAAACCCCGCCACACUCUGUAUGUGUCUGUUUUGAAGUCACGAGACGGUAAUGCAG
rnacentral:lncRNA from 1 species